rnacentral:lncRNA from 1 species
UGGAGAACCUGAUCCUGAUGAUACUACUUGUCUAGUUUCAAAAUCUGGAGAUGAGACGGAAGUUAUAACAGCUCAGCGUAGAAGCUCCGCAGUUUUGAAGUCAGAACCUGAUCCUAACAAUUGUAUUGGUGAUUUAAAAAGCAAUGAGCUGCAAAUGAUUGAAGAACCAGUGGCAGCGCUCUGCGCUCGACUCCAGAAGUCCAUUGAAAUGCUCCGAUUGCAAGCAACACCUGCAGAGGCAGACUCCGCUAUUCAAACACUCUUUAAGAUUAUCAAGAAUGUGAUAGAGCACCCAAAUGAUAUUAAGUAUAA